GGAAGGUCAGCAUUUGGCUGACUUUGUUGUGCUGCUAGAUGAUGAUUCAUUUAUUCCUUGGUUGUACAAAAAGGUUUGUAGGUUCUCCCAGAAGAAAAUGAGCAAAUAGACUGCUAAGGUGUAAAUCUGAGCUGUGCUGCUGCCUCAGAGGCUCUUGUAGAGGACACUUUGCACAGCACAGGAAAGUUACUGCCUUAGCAAAAAUACAGCAACUGGGGGUGUUACAUGCUGCUAGAACUAUGAAGAGACUGAGAAGAAUGACUCAGAAAAGUUAUAUUGAGUACUCUUCCGGGAACUUUAAAUGAAUCUAUUUGUUAUGCAUUUACACCUGGCAAAGAGUUUCACUCACUAUCAUGUCACAGGUGAGGAGCAGCAGCCUCCAGAUAAAGGGCAUUCACUUCAGGACACACAUAAUCCUGAUUUCUCAGGACUGCAAAGCUGAUCACAUUGCUGAGAUUCAGUGCGAAGUCAGCCCUGGAACAGCAAUGACCAAGAUGUCUUUAACCAGAGCACAUGGGUUAGAGAUAUGCUCUGCUUGUUUCAAGGAAGCUCUUCAACAGCCAUCCAGCUGCUUGUACAUCUUACCUAUGCUAUGGUGGAUCAUGGUUUCAUGGAAACACCACCUUGUCCAGAAGUUAAUCAUGCUCUGAAUUGUACAUCAGAAGAUAAAGUAUGGCAUUUCAAGACUGGUGAUGAGUGGCAGGUAUCAAAAUGGAAACGAGCUCUUUUUAAACGGGAAUGAAAAUGGCAUGACCUGAAAACUGACAGUCCUUUGCCAUCCCAGUGGUAACAGCAAGACCAGGACCUAUUUUUCCACUGGGAUUUGGUGUCAUCUCUUCUGUUGUGGUGACCACUUAGGAAUAGAAAUAGAAAGAAAGUAGCAUGCUGGUAAUCCCGUCAGCCAGCUGGCAAUACUGCUGAACCAUAGCUGGGCUAAGCCAACUGGAAAACUCCAUCUGGAAGCUGGAAUAUACACAAAUACUACUUGAUACACUUGCCUCCCCCUGCAUGCAGUUUGCGAUGAAAAUCUGACCCCCUUUGAUCCCCAUACCCAUGCGCGGCAACCCUUUUCACUGAGGUAGACAUUUGAGCUCAUGGGCUUUGGACAACAUGCUGGCAGAGCAGGUGCCUCCUGUUUGGAUUAUCAGAAGUGAUAUUUCCAGUACCACCCAAA